rnacentral:rRNA from 1 species
AUGGCCCCCGCAAUGAGGCCGGAGCAGGAGGCGAGCUGCAAGGCCACCGAGGACCACCGCUCCGAGUUCGACGCCGCCAAGCCGCCGCCCUUCCGCAUCGGCGACGUCCGCGCCGCCGUGCCGGCCCACUGCUGGCGCAAGAGCCCCCUGCGCUCCCUCUCCUACGUCGCCCGCGACGUCGCCGUCGUCGCGGCGCUCGCCGCCGCCGCGUGGCGGGCCGACAGCUGGGCCCUCUGGCCGCUCUACUGGGCCGUCCAGGGCACCAUGUUCUGGGCGCUCUUCGUCCUCGGACACGACUGUGGUCACGGGAGCUUCUCGGACAGCGGCACGCUCAACAGCGUCGUCGGCCACCUGCUGCACACCUUCAUCCUCGUCCCGUACAAUGGCUGGAGGAUCAGCCACAGAACGCACCAUCAGAACCAUGGCCACAUCGAAAAGGACGAGUCAUGGCACCCGAUCACUGAGAAGGUGUACCAGAAAUUGGAACCACGGACAAAGACACUGCGCUUCUCAGUACCGUUCCCACUGCUGGCUUUCCCUGUUUACCUCUGGUACAGAAGCCCGGGCAAGGAGGGCUCACACUUCAAUCCGAGCAGCGAUCUGUUUACUCCCAAGGAGAGGCGUGAUGUGAUCAUCUCCACCACCUGCUGGUUCACGAUGAUUGCGCUGCUCAUCGGCAUGGCGUGUGUCUUUGGCCUGGUACCUGUGCUCAAGCUAUACGGGGUUCCAUAUAUUGUGAAUGUCAUGUGGCUUGAUUUGGUGACGUAUCUUCACCACCAUGGUCACCAGGACCUCCCAUGGUACCGCGGCGAGGAAUGGAGCUACCUCCGUGGUGGCCUGACGACUGUGGAUCGGGACUAUGGAUGGAUCAACAACAUCCACCAUGACAUUGGCACCCAUGUCAUCCACCACCUCUUCCCCCAAAUACCUCACUACCACCUAGUAGAAGCAACCAAGGCAGCAAGGCCAGUACUGGGCAGAUACUACCGGGAGCCGGAGAAGUCAGGCCCGCUCCCAGUGCACCUCAUCACCGUCCUCCUCAAGAGCUUGAGAGUCGAUCACUUUGUCAGCGACGUGGGAGAUGUCGUCUUCUACCAAACCGACCCCAGCUUGAGCGGCGACAAGUGGACCGGAGCCGACAAGCAGAAGUGA